rnacentral:lncRNA from 1 species
AAGGUCGUAGCUCUUCUAAUAGCUGAGAUAUGGCAUUUUUGAUGCCCAUUUUUGGCCUCAAAAACGGACGUCGAAAACGACUUUUUCACGAUUUUCAAAGUGCUCUCAUUCCCUUAGUUUUGCUCAGAUCCUGCUACAACCCGGUGUUUUCGUAAUCUAGGUGACCCAAUUAAGACGCUGGUAUACUUAGUUUGAUUUCGACAAAAAUCAAUUUUUGGUGAAAAAAUUCGAUACGGGGGGGUAUACCCGAAAAAUGAAAAAACCCAAACUUUGACGGUCGAUAUCUCGGCUUCUAUGGGAGCUAUCGGGAAAAUUCCAACGGUUCUGUCUUAGUUUCGUCAUUCUAAAUCCAACGAGACUAUCCGCAAGGUCGUAGCUCUUCUAAUAGCUGAGAUAUGGCAUUUUUGAUGCCCAUUUUUGGCCUCAAAAACGGACGUCGAAAACGACUUUUUCACGAUUUUCAAAGUGCUCUCAUUCCCUUAGUUCUGCUCGGAUCCUGCUAUAACCCGGUGUUUUCGUAAUCUAGGUGACCCAAUUAAGACGCUGGUAUACUUAGUUUGAUUUCGACAAAAAUCAAUUUUUGGUGAAAAAAUUCGAUA